UACGUAGGGUGCGAGCGUUGUCCGGAAUUAUUGGGCGUAAAGAGCUCGUAGGCGGUGUGUCACGUCGGCCGUGAAAACCUGCAGCUUAACUGUGGGCGUGCGGUCGGUACGGGCAUCACUGGAGUUCGGCAGGGGAGACUGGAAUUCCUGGUGUAGCGGUGAAAUGCGUAGAUAUCUGCAGGAACACCCGUGGCGAAAGCGGCGCGCUGGACCACUACUGACGCUGAGGAACGAAAGCUAGGGGAGCAAACAGG
rnacentral:rRNA from 1 species